UGGAGACACCCGAAGGUGUUUGAAGGCGGUGGGCAGCGUGCGGCCCAGGAACGGAGGGGUGGUCACGUCGCGGAUCUUGAUGACAUACUCCCCUGCAAGAAAUGAGACGGCGCGCGCUGGAACCGGCCCCCAGCGGCCACUGCCUGUCGGGCUCCUCCCCUCCCCACCUGCCCCGCCCCGGGGCUCCAGGCCGCCUCCUCCCUGUGACCCCAGGACCUGGCUGCCACCAGCCCGGACUGCAGGGCCCACCGUGCAGUCUGUAAACUGUCUGGAGAGCUUCAAAGUUGGAGAAACCAUAAAAAAGAAAAUAAGAAAUAACAGAAAGUGAGGUUGCCAUAGAAACCGCUGCGGCUGGCACGGGAGCGUGGAAAAAGCUCGCGGGCUGGCCCGGCUCGCACCAGGAAUGCGGCCGCAGCUGAACGGGGGCGCGGGUGUCGGCUGUGCCGCGAGAGAACAUUCCGGCGCCAGGUCUGGAAAACAGGCCUUUGGUGACCCUCCUCUCGGGGCCCAGGGGCUGCGACACUGCGCAUUCCUGGGGCAGGACCAGGGAGGCCCGGGCGGCAGGAAUUGGCUUGGCCUUGAGUCAGUUCCUUCAGAAAAGCGCGGUCUUGGGUGGGGGGGGCGCCGGGGAGGGGCCACAUUCCGCAGCCUGGGGCACCGGGCCUCCCUGGUCGGCCUGGAGGAAAAAGCCGCGCAUGGCAACGCCGGUUUCCAGGCAGCCCGUCUCUAGGUGUUCCGGAGAACACAGCUGCACCAGCUGCCAAGGGCGCCGAGGGGAGCCGCGCGGGCUCGGCGGGCAGCGCCCAGCACCAGCCCCAGCCCUCAUCUGACCUCGCCCCGAGGCCUUCCUUCUCCUGGCGGGUGGGAAAGGGUCUGGCUGGUGGCCACCUUGCUGGCCUCAGAAGCCUCCCGAGGCCUGCCCCGGCGGCCACGUGGUCCCGCCUGCGGUCCGUCCUGGGCUUUGGGCCCGGAGUCCCCGCUGAGCCCAGCCCCCGCCUCUGGCCGUGGCCAUCCACUGGCUUGCCCCUCGCCACCUGGAAAUCGCUUCUCCUCAGGGCUCCUCCGAGUCCAGUCCACACCUACUGACCUCUUCCAGCUACACACUGGUGGACAUCCCCUCCACCCUCCGGCACUACUUCCUCUUCAGGCACACACGGGGGUCCCAGGGUCCUGAGCCACACCAGCCCUGUGGGCCCAGACCCCGGCCCCCUCCCCCUGCACGAGGACAUUUCUGGGCUAACAGCUGCACCAGGGCGGCAGGGGCCUGGGCCUGGAAGCUGCCCGCUUUCCAAGAGACCCUGGCUGAGGGGACAGAGAGGCACCCAAGGCCUCUUGAGCACCCCUCCAUUGGAUGCCCUGCCUGGUGCCCACAGCCAUUCUGAGGGACCAAGCCUUGGGACACAUUCAGAGGAAGGGAGCAGGCAGCCCAUCUUCCAGAGAUGGACAUAAAUGAUCCAUUUGGAUCGUCGGGUGACAGCUGGAGAUGGCCUGCUGGGCAGUGUCCUCCCGCUGCCCACCUCCCGCUGCCCACCUACCUGGGGCAAUGUGCCACCGCCUCUGGCAGCUCUACCGGCACCUGGAGGAGAGGGCCUGUGACGCCUGGGACCUGCUCUCGGCCCCUCGGCCCUUCCGUCUUGUCUUAACCCAAACAUGCCACGGAUGGAGCCGGAGCUGCAGUGUGACAAGCCCACCCCGUCCGUUUCCACAGCUGGCGCUGGUCUGAGCAGAACCAACGUGUGGCUUUUGAAAACUUAGGGUCCUAUCUGCACGGAGGCCUCUCAGUGCAGAGCAAGGAUCAUUCAGAAAACAGCCGACGCGUGGAGUCCCUCUGGAAGCCACGUUUACUUUCCAGCAAGAAGUGACAAGCAGCAGCUGGCUAUUUUUUGUCUCCUCCUCACCUCCCACCUUGGAGCCUCCCGAGUCACAGACGUCAUCUCCGCUCGAGACACUGCUUCUACGUGACGCUCUGUCUGGUUUCCAUGGCCAUCUUCAAGGUCACCCGCCUUCAAGGUCACCUGCGCUCUGCUGUUUGCUCCGUUGGUCAUCCCGCGGCGGACUCUGCGGCUCCCGUCCGCACAAGCCCCUCUCAACAUGCUCACCUCUCCCAGGUCUCCACGCGCCAUGGUCAGUUUUUCCUCGUGAGCGCGUGGAAUCCAGUUGUAACCGGCCGAUGUCCUUUUUCCUCCAGCUGUGUCGUUUCUGGGCCAGUUUUGACUGACGGGUAUUUCCCCUCAUUGCAGAUGGUGCUAUCCUGCAUUCUUUCCGUGCCUGGUCAUCUUGGAUCAGGUGCCAGACACCGCGAAUUUCACCUUAUUGGGGGCUGGAUGUUUUCAUAUUCUUAUAAAUAUUCUCGGUGCCGUUCCUUAGAGACAGUUUGAUCCUUUUGGGUCUUGCCGUUUUGUUAGGUGGGGUGAAGAGCACUCUACCAUUAGUGCCUUGUGAACUCGGAGGUCAUCCAGUCCGGCUGCUGGAGGGCACUGGCGGGGCCCUGGGUGACUCUGGACGUACUCCCUUUGAUCCGCCUGGUGGGUCUUCCCUUGUGCCCAGGCGCUCCUCCGUGCUCUGCAGACUCCAGGGUUCUCUCCUCCCCUCUCUGUCCUGCUCCAUCUAGUUGCCUUGGCUGCCUGGGACUCCCAGUUUCGUCUCUCCCCCUGGGGACUCCUGAACCACCUGGGUCCCCUCCCUGUGCCACAGCUGGGAUGUGGCGAGCUGGGUGGUCACAGGGCUCACGGCGAUUGCUCCCGCCUCUUGGGACUCCUGCCCUUGGUCACCUGAUGUCCAGUGUGUUUAGGGCUGCUGUGCAGUUUUUCACUGAUUACUUGUGGGGUGCAAAUCCAGCCCCUGGCACUCCAUCUGAUAGACUGAACCAAGACGUGGUGCUUAGACAGCACCAACUCCCCUUCAGUGGUCUGCUCCCCGGUGGAGAGAGGCCUCCUGCUCCCACCCUCCCCACCUCUGAGCCUGCAGCACGAGCACCUGGUUGUCCUUUCAAGGCUCCCAAGUGGCAUCUUGUUCUAACUGGAUGUGUCCCUGUGAGAUGGGCCUCAGCCAGCGUGGAUCACUCUGCCGUGAGGCUCCCACGCCAGGUCUGUCCCAGUUCCCCACGAGGCCUGGUGGGCCGUGCCCUUCGACUGCCCCAACAGGACAUGUGGUGGACCCUCUGGAGUGGGGGAAUUUGACAGCCUCCUCGAAGGAUCAACGAGGUAACCCUACUGGCUCCCACUAGGUGCGCAGCGGCCCGAGUGACCCACCAGUCCAGUCAGCUGCCCCUCAGCACGGGUGGCCGUGGUCCUCCCCAGGACCUGUGGCCAUGCGGUUCCCUUUCCUGAGGCCCUGAGAGUGUCCCGUCAGGCUGCAUGACCUUAACAGGCCCUCUGGACCCCACCUCUGCUUGGGCAGGUGAGUCACAGGACUGCACCCUGCAAGAAUGGACCCCGGGGACUUUGUUCUGUUGAAAUUACCACAAGCACGCCUGACCCUAAGUAGACCCAUCGCCCAGGCGUUGCCCACUGUAGCCUGGGCAGGACGUGGGGCUGUAGCCAAGCUCCAUGGUGUGUGGCUUCUCAGAUCUUCUCCGCGUGGCCCGGGUCAGGAGAGAAAAUGGGCAGAGCUGAGAAAAUCUCCAUCAUUGGAGUGGUUGCCAUAGGGGCUGGAAGCCAGCGGCCUGCGCGCCCAUUCUUUUGCUGGGGCAGCUGAGCGAGGCACCUGGGGAGGGGCACUGGGACCCCCUCAGCCAAGCACACAGCAGACAGUGAGAGAAAGGGGUGCAUUUCAGAGUGACCGUUCCCCCAGCGAGCCCAGGGCCUCUCGUAGCCCAUGUCACCCAAGCGUGUCCACCCAAAGGCCCUCGGGGUGUGGGCUUGGCAGCUCUGUAGGCAGGCACAGGAGGCCUAGUGGCUGCAUACAGAUUUAGAAGCCCAUGGCCCUGGUCAGGCGAGGGGGCCAGGGGUGCUGGCUCUGGGCUAGGUCCCCUGGCCUGGCCCUUGUUGUCACUGGUUUCCCGGUCCGUGAGGUAGGCACACAGGCGUGGCAUGGAGUGUGGACGCCCUGAGACCUGACCUGGGCGUGGGGCCCCCUUCCUGCAGCUGGUCAGGGGAGAGCUCACCCAGGGCAGUCUAGGUCAAGGCUCAGGCCCUGAGGUCAGGAGCACCUGGCUGCGGCCGCAGUGAUGUCACGUGCAGCCUCUGGCACUAACAGAUACACCAGCCUAGGGAUCUGGGAGCCGGGAGUCAAGCACCAACCAAGUCACAAACCGGGAAAACUCACCCGAGGGUGGGCCGGCUGCCGAGAAGCCACCCAGGCUCUCCAGACCUACCCACGGGGGAUAUGAGUCCAGAGCUUUCUGCAGCCCCACAGAGAGCCCAUAAGAAAGUUCCAUAAUUAGAGCAGUGAGCUAGUUGCCGGAGCCCUGACUUGGGGGACUGCAAACUGUUGUUGCCUGUCUAGGAUCCCUGAGCUCAGCAAGUGACAGCCAUGGCCCAGCCCCUGGCCGUCUCCCAGUUGGCUCAGCCCGUCUGUAGAGGGUUCUCUCCCCGGAGGCCCCCAGAGGCCUCCCCUUACCCAGGCUUGCAGGGGGCCGGGGUCACACUGCCAUGCAGCCCCUCUGGGUGAGGCCCUCCCUGCACACAUGGGGCCAGCAGAGCAGCUGAUGGUCAGAGCAGGAGAGGCUUAAUGCGUUCUGAGCCCUACCCUGGGGGCAAGGGGCCCAUCCAGCACCAUUUAGGGGCUGUGUCCCCAGCGACAAUGGGCUCCUGGCCCUGGAAAGCCUGCAGGGUAUUUUCUGUUUGGGGGUGCCUGCCAAGGAGGCCCUCAGGGGGGUCGUGAGUGGUCGCCAGCAGUCGCCAGUGGUGGCUGUGUGACAGGUUAACGCCGCCCCCCCAGAGUCCAUCUGCUUGGCCGUGCCUCUAGCACCCUGCUGAGCUGUGGGAGACUGGGGUGCCUGCACAGCCGGCCCAGCUGCCUCGCCAGCCCUGACACCUGCCCCAGUGCAUCACUGCUGCUCGGACAGGACAGGGCUCAUUUUGCAAACUUUAGAAGUUUCUAGAGAAGAAAAAAUCCCAGUCCAUGCCCUCCUCUCAUUGUCCCUGACACCCACGGGGGGCAGCUUCCAGCCAGGGACAGGGCGGCAGAGGCUGAGCCCCUGUGAGUAAGGGGGCCCGGGGGGGGCCUGCCGCCCAUUGUCCUGCGACUUCACCCUGUCAUGCCCUCCAGCCAUGUCUGUGGCCUCCUGCUGCCCUGAGAACUCUCACCCCCGCCUAAGCCCACCCCUCCUCUGGGCCCCUGAGUGCCAGGGCGCAGGGCCGCCGGGAACCAGGAAGAGUGCCCUGAGCACACGCUCUGGUGACAGAGGCCACGAGCGAGCUGAGGACGGCCUUCCCAGCAGAGGGGCCAGCACGUGCCGAGGGCCAGAGGGCAACACUGUGUGAGCAGAACCCGGGCCGGGGCACAGGCUGUCACUCAGAGCCUGUCCUCUUUGGGACCCGCUGAACCUGGUGGCUCCUGCCCAGAGCUUCUCCGGGUCCUGGUGGGGCCAGCCAAUGGUGGGCUCACAGGACAGCACUCCAGACCCCAGGGCUGCUCUGGACUUAGUGGACGAAGGUGAUGGCGGUUGUCCUGUGGCUCCGGCUCAGGCUGACACCACUUCGCAUCACUCAGGAGCGGACGGGGUCUGUGUCAUGUUGUGAAAUUCCGUCAUACGCCAGGAAUGUGUCUGCAGGAAUGUGGCGAGGCCGCCAUGGAACCAGGCUGUCCCCGGCAAGCGGCCGCGUGCAUGAGCUGCUCAGCGUUGGGGGGACGGGCGAGCAGAGCCGGCCCACCUGACUGUGGAGAGGCGGCAACUCAGGGACAGGAUUUUGAGACAAUGCAGACGCGCUUAUGCGACAACAGGGAAAAGCCAAAGUCCCAUCAAAGCACAUUCCCAGGAGAAAUGGGGUUAAAUGGGCCACCCCCUCUGUGGACACCCCCGACCUGGUGUCCCCGUCAUCAACACACAGGGCUCUUCCACCUGGGACUCUGCGGGGUGGGUGCGAGCCCCACCUUGCUCUCUUCAUGGGAUGGGGUCCAUGUGGUGAGGGGCCCGAGUGCUGAACCUGGGCUCUCCCUUCCAGGGUGGCAUGCAACCCUGAGAGCAAAUGGUGAGAGCAUGUCCCCGGGAGGGCAGGGGCCUGACAGGCCAAGGGCUGGGCUCUGGGGAGGCCCCCGGGCCCGAGACCUCUCCCUUCCCUUCCCUCGACCCAAAGGCUUAUUUCAGGGAGCACGGGUAAGUUUUCUUAGUAGAUACUGAGGAAUUAUGCAAAUGAAGCCGAAACCACUGGCCUGUCACCAUCUUCAUGGAGAGAGAGAGACUCCUUCUUUAGUCAUUUCUGUUGGGUGAGGGGUGCUAGCACGGGCGAGGCCGACUGGGGGCGAACUGAACGAGUGAGCAAAUGUGAGGUUUGCUGUGGCUGUGAGGGCUCGCCAGCUGGAGGGCACACAGGUGGCCCAGGGCAGCAGGAAGGCGGCUCCUGUGGGCGUCGCAGAGGGAUGCUGGCACAGCCAAGGGUGAUCCGGGCCCCAGGGCCUCAGUGCCAGCCCGCCCUGCCCCCCAGCCUCACGGCCCUGCCACCUCGGCUGCUUCCACAGAGCCCAGAAGUUGGUCCCCACUCAGGUCUCCCCAGGUGGAAUGGUGGCCAGCUGAACUGGGCUGCUGUUCCCAGCUUCUCCAGACUUUGGAAUCGGGCACUUAGAGGCCAGACACGCGUGUCAGCCCGUGGCUCCCUGUCGCCUUGCCAGAGGGAGCUCCUCGUCCUGGUGCCGGACACACAGCAGGCCACUCAGGCUGCUGGGAGAAUUUCUAUAUUCAGACAACAUAAGCUCAGCGGCCCUGGGAUGGACCCCCUGAGAGAAUGGACCACCCCACACCUCAAGGCCUGGCACAGGGGGUGGUGCAGCGGGGCCCCCAGGAAUCCAGACGCUGGUCACACGCUCCAUCUCAGAGACGCGGAGCAUUGUGAAACCAGCGCACUUUGCUGAGACUGUAAGGAGCCCAGUGGGGACGAGGACACUUGGAGUGUAGCGCCCUGCAGCCCUCAGCUCACCCGCAGGGCUGGGAGGCUGAGCUGCGCACUCCCUCUGCUUCCUGUGAGCCAUCGGACGGACAUGAGGGCCGCCUUUUUACGAAAUGAGACGGUUCAACAUCACCCUCAGCUGCAUGGUUGCCAUGGUUACAACAUCCGCAGAAGCCAGGCCCUGAGCACGUGGCGCUGGGCUCGGUCACCUGACUCUUUCAGCUGUUGGUGUUCAGGUCCUGAGCCCGAAACCCCGAGCACGUGUGGGGCCUGCGCGUCGAGCGAGAUCUUGGCUGUUUAUUUAGAACCUGUGUUCCUCCAGCGCAUGUGUGAAGCAAGCUGUGUAUUUAACUCACGCGGUGACUCAGAACAGCACAGGACGGCCCCUUCCCUGUAGCGCUCAGCCCAGCUCCACCGUGCCAGUGGGGUCAGGGGCUUGUCAGCGUGCCGACACUGCCAGCCUCCCAGUGUUCCCGGCUCAUCCCACGCCCACUGGCGUCACCGAUGCGCCACCUAAUUGCAGGGAGCGUGGGCAGCUGUGCAGCUCCAGGCAGCGCACGGCCUGCUUCCCGUUUCUGCAGAACUCCUUAUGUUCCUAGAGUGUUCUUGCUGGGUCUGUGCCCACAAGCCUCUGCUCUUUUUCGUGGCUUUUUCAACGUGUGCCCCUGAGCUGGCAGUGUGAAGAAAAGUGCCUGGUCCCAGGCAGUGGGAGGCGCCCCCAGCACGCUGACCUCGGCUCUUGGGAGUGGGUGGACAAGGCCUUGUGCCGGGGUCAGGCCUGGCCUUGCAGCAGACGGCAUCACAGGCAGCCUGGCACCUCUCCCAGGCCCUGUGCUCUGCCCCCCCACAGGCCACAUUCUCCCAUCCCCACCCACCAUGGCCCGGGGCCCUCUCCCUGGAGGGGGAAUCGUGUCUUUCAGGGGUGGUGAUUUUUUUCUCAAGGUGUCGUGUUUCCAGGAUGUCCUGCUUCCAGCUCCAGGUCUGUGUUCCAGGCCGAGUCGCCCAGGAUCCACCCACAAAGGAGACCACAGGUGGCAGGAGACAGGCGCUGGCCACACUGCAGGGACCUGCCCUGUGCUUCACAGUGUUGCAGCCAGCUCCCCGCGGCUCCCAGGGGCUUAGGGAUGGGUUGGGGAGGCCAGGUCGCGUCCCACCAGAGCGAGGGACAGGCUGCCCCUGAAAACAGGGGCCUGGAAACGGUUCUCUGGAACCCAGCCCUCCCUGGGCUGGAAAGAGCAUGUCACCGUGAAGUAGCAACAGAGGGGUCUCCUCGCCUCCCCACAGGACGACUUUCAGCCCCUCUAAUUUGUCAAACGAAAAUCCAAAGUGGAUGUAGGUGAGCCUCAGCCGCCGCCUCUGCAGGACGGAGACAGGCCAGCGGUGGCCCCUGGCGCCCGGCAGACAGUGAGGACUGAGCCCCGACCAAGUGCCAGGUCACAGUGCCCUGCCCGCCCUCCCUGCAAGAGUGGCCCUCCUCUGUGGCCAGCAGGCCCUGCCAGAAGGAGCCGCCGGCCGGCCACAUCCUUCAGGAAGCAGGCUGCUCGCGCUGCUGACCUCCGGCCUGUCCGAGCGAGGUGCUGAGGGGACAGCUGGGUACCACUCCUGCUGCCCCUGCUCCCGGGAUAAGAUCCCCUGAGUUCAGGCCAGACCAGGCCCCAGGCUCCCACUGAGGAAGCGAACGUGCUCUCCACGCCACAGAAGGCUCUGGGAUUGCUGGGCAGACUGAGGCCUUGCCCAUGGUGUCUGCGGGGUCUCACGCCAGUGGGGAAACUGAGGCAGGAACGGGACCGGGUGGUACCCGGGUGGAGGGGGCCCGAGGCGGACAUCCACGAACUGGGCACGGCCUCUCUCCACUCGCCGACAGUCUGCAGGACAAUGGGGUGCGCCUUCCCCAGCUGAGGAGAAAGAGACAUUCCCAGAAAAGUAAACAAAAAGGCUCUUCAAGCAUCACGAAGCAAAGGACUUUCUGUCACUGAUGUCCUUCGUCCAGCCGCUUUUGCUGUCCUCGCACUGUUCACGUCCUGGGCAAUGGCUGGGAACCGAGCUGCUGACGGCCUCACUCCCGCUGCUUCCCGCACCACCGGCUCCACUGGGCCAGAGGAGCUAACUUUGACUACCUUUCAUUGACACGUCCGGACCAUAAAGACCCCCAGCUCUGUACCCUAACAGCCCUCUGCCAAGGUGACUGACCGCCGUGGGUUAGCCCCACACAGAGCACCCUAAGGCUGCUGGCUCCUCGGGGCGCAGCAACCUCAGACUGGACAUGCAGCAGGCUGUCUCCAAGGCCAGGGGGCUGGAAAAUGCAUCCGGUGCGCCUUCAAGAUCUGUUCGGACCUGAGUCCAGCGCUGCUCUGUCUCGCCCAUCACGCCCUCACCAGCCGACGCACUGCGCUUGGCGGGACUCCUGGGUCCUCCCUCACCCCAUGGCCUUCACGGGAAGCCAGGCCGGCCCCCUUCCUGCCCCAGAGCACAGUCCCGCCUCAGGCCACGCAUGAUGAGCUCGCUUUGUGGGAACCCUCCCUGCAGCCCCCUUUGCCUCCUCUGUCUCAGCUAGACUGUGGCUUCCUGGCUUGUCCCUCCAGGUGGUCACGCUGCAGUUGGGAGAAGAGCCUCACUCCCCAUGGAAGUAAGCACCACAUCCACCCAGAGGGGCCACCAGCUCCGCCUCCUCCAGAGGCCAGAUGCCCAGCUCCAGCUCCUGCAGACGCUCCCGGACCGGGACAGUCUCGUGCCUCAGGCUCCCCUCUCAGUGAGGGGCCCACCCUCCAGCUGGUUACUCAGCCAGCGACACCGGUGACGUCCUGCAUUCUGCCCCCUCCUGGUCUCCCCAUGACAACCAUCUUGGGGUCCAGGCCACCGCCUGGCCUCUUGGUCCCUGCCUCUGACACCAGCAUCCCUCACACUCCAGCACUCGAGUCACAGCCAGGGGCUGCCUCGCCCUGCUCCAAACCCCGUCCGGCUCCAACCCCACUGCUUCCUCCUGCACCUUGAGCAGACAGAGUCAGGGCCCAGGAUGGCUGCCCUCAAAUCACACCCCUCCUCGCUCACACUGCUCACUCGCACGGGCGCCUCUGGCCUCUGCUCACAUCCCUCACCCUGUCCUAUUGGCAACCCUGGCGUCGUUGGGCCAAACCGCAGAAAAGGCUGAGACUGCCAGUAGGUGCCGCCCGAAGGAAGGAACACUAAGUUCUGAUCAGAGACAAAGCUGCAGGCACAUGUGACGGCAUGGCCACUGCAGACACCCCCUGCCCACUGGCAGGCUGAGUGACAGGCCGGCGGGCCUGCUGGCCGGAGUUUCCACAGCACCGAGGGCUGUACUACAAGGAAGCCCUGAGGGACCACUUGAGGGGAGUGUCCCUGGGCUUGCUCACCUUGUCUCCAGCACCCUGGCGCAUUUGGGGUGGGGGGCACUCCCCUGUAGAUUGUAAUGGUAGCAAUUACGGCUUUAUCAGCAAGACAAAGGUCACUGUCUGCCUCCAGGGAGGGGGCGACUCCAGGAAGGGGAGCUGAGGCCGGGGAGAUCGGGCAGCUUGACUGCUCCAGGAGGGAAAGGCCUAUUAAUUAUCCUUUUACAGCCUAUGCAGUCAGCCUCCCCAAUCACCUGUGUCGGACAGAGGCGGGGAGCCGCUGGAAUAAACAAGGCUCGAGAGGGCAGAGCCGUUACCGCCAAAUGGCCGCCGUGGGCCCAGGGCCUCACCAGGCGGAGAGCCAGCGACUGGACAAAAUAUUUUCUUCAUGUAAGUGAAUCAAAAUAAUAAAACGUU